CUGUCCUGGAGGCGUGUUGAAACAAUACACAGUGAAGAAUUCACCCGACAGCAAGAGGAGGGGCCGUGAAUGAAACACACACGGCAGCAGUGUUAAGCGCCGCACUCUGUAAACAGCAAAAGGCUGUAACAAACUGCCCAAAGUGGAAUGAAGGCACAGAGGAAUCCGCUCGGGAGCGGAAAAAAUGAAAGAAACAGGAAAGACAACACAAGGGAAAACGGGGAAAACACAGAGGGCCAAGGUUCACUGGAAGGAGCUUUAAGCAGUACUCACUACAAAACACACAGCAAGAAAGUUGCAAUGCACAGGUGCUUUUCAUUAACUGGUAUUUAAAGCUGCUUCUGAUGGAAGACUAGAGCACACCUCGCAUUGGUCUUGAAGUAUUAGUCCCUUUUCCAUAUCGCUCACUUUCCCAUAGUUUCCAUGGGCGAUAUAUGACACCUGGUUAUGUUUUGCCAUGUCCAUGGGGCCGAGCGAGAUUGACCACUGGCACACUCUCCUGCAGCAACGAUGCUAGUGCCCCUCAGAGGUCACCAGAGCAGAGACAGGGGAUGGGACCCCUGUUCCAGAUGCAAUUGUUGAUUGGGGUGGACUGUCUUCAGUGUAGCCUGACCACAUCGUACCGCUGGGCGGGGAAGCCUACGAAAGGUGCCAGGGGUCUGCAGUGAUGUUGGUUACCCACACAACCAGUCUUGAAAUACAGACCAAGGAGGUCUUCAUGUGCAUGAGUCAGAGAGCCAAACAAAACCCGGUGGCACAAUGAAGGUGAGGGUCGGAGCACACCGGCUGAGUUGGAAUCCAGUUGUGCCAUGCACACUACUGCCACCUUUCAGCCACUCUGUUGGGGAGGUGGAGCAUGACCAUGUGUUAUAUGAACCAGAAACUGGGGAUCUAUGCCUGUGCAGGGCAUAGCUAGAGGGAACUCUGGCCGUAGUGGUCCUGUCAUGCAAAUCGGUCAUCCAAAAUGGUUAUAGGGGCAGAAGACUAACCAAACUAGCAGCUGGUUCCCUUUGGAGUUUCCCUCGGGAUAGCUGGUGUUCGGUAAUCCCAGUUUUAUUUGGUGAGGCAACAUAUUCUCAGACUUUAUAUGGGUGAGGAGACCAGCUCGCUGGCAUAAAUCUGGGCAUCAAAUGGCAGUGCCCAGCGUGCCAACUUUGGUACACAGAACUGGUGCUGCAGGAUGAACCGUACGCAGGUUACGGAGCAGAUGCCAACGCUCAUCAGGCCCCAGAAAAGGGGUUGGUUGAUAUAGACAGCAUAACAGUGGCCAUGGAAUUCAGCAUCUGCAAAAGAGUGUGUAGCAAUUCACCUUCCACAUCAAUUAGUCCCUGCAAUGGAUGGUUCUGGAGUAUCAGGCAUGGGCUGAGAGCUGCAGGGGCUAUGUCGUGAUGAGUAGGAAGGCUGCUGCAGUGUGCACAGUAGCCUGGGGCGAGUUCCCUUGUGGAGCCACUGGAAGUGCAGAUCUUGGUGGUAGUAGCAAAUGCUGAAAUGAGAACUUUGAGGACCGUAGUGGAGGAGGGUACCAUGUGAACAGCUGUUUUACAUGGGUCAGUCGUUCCUAACAGAUGAGCGAGCAGCAUUCAGGAGGGACAGCAAUGUCCUCCGUUGCCCUCAGCCAAUCAAAAGGGAGCCAGGUUCAGAUCCCACAAACCCAAGUUGCAUGGAAGGGCAUCCUUGCGGCAUCCAUUGCAGUAACGCAAAAUUGAAGCACGGGUAAACAGAGUUAGUACCUAUGACUCUCUUAAGAUGGCCAAAUGAUAUGUCAUCUCAUUGGUGGCACGCAUUAAUUAAUUAAUGGGAUUACUGCUGUCCCUACCUACUGUCUAGUGACCACCGCCUAGGGAAGAGGCUUGUUGAAUUAGCGGGGGCAGGAGACCCCGUUGAGCUCAACUCUAGUCUGGCACUUUGAGGAGACAUGGGAGGUGUAGGUGAAAGGCUCUCGGGUCAGCAGUGAAAUACCACUACUGUUAUAAUUCUUUCAUUUGCCCAAUGAGAGGGUGGAGGGGCAAGCCCAGUGGGGCUGUCACUUCUGGCCCCAAGCAUCUAGCUCCAGCUAGGCGCAAUCCGCUGCAGGGACAUUGUCAGGUUGGGAGCUUGACUGGGGCAAUACAUGGGUCCUACAAUAACACAGGUUUUCUAAGGCUAGUUUAGGGAGUACACAAUCAUCCCACUGAGACAAAGGGCAAAAGCUUGCUGGAUCUCGAUUUUCUGUAUGAAGACAGACCGUGUAAGCAGGGCCUCAUGAUCCUUCUGACUUUUUGAGGUAUCAGCAAAUUACCACAGGUAUAACUGUCUUGAGGUGGCAAAGCAUUCAUAGCGACCCCGCAUUUUGAUCUUUCCCAGUCUGCUCUUCCUAUCAUUGUGAAGCAGAAUUCAGCAAACAUUAGAUUGUUCACCCACUAAUGGGGAACUUGAGCUGGGUAUAUACCGUUGUGUGACAGAUUAGUUUUAUCCCACUGAUGACGUGUUGUUGCAAUAGUAAUACUGCUCAGUACAAGAGGAAGCUCAUGUUCAGACAUUUGGUGCAUGUGCUUGGAUGAGGAGCCAAUGGGGCGAUUCUGCCAUGUGUGUGAUUAAUACUAAAUGCCUCUAAGUCAGAAUCCCCUAAACUGUAACUGUAAUGCAGCACUGUGGAGCCUCAGUUGGUCUAGGAUAGCCAAUCUCUAGACCAGUGCAUAGAGCUGCUUGCCUCAGGACUCAAAUGUGGACAGAAGGGGACACCCCCUCUCGCCCGUAGUGCACCUCAUGUUAAUGGGGAAUGUGGUGCAUAAUAAUUUGUAAAUGACCUGAUUUUGGGUCAGGGUUUUGUAAGUAGCAGAGCAGCUACCUUGCUGCAAUCUAUUGGAAGUCAUCCUCUGAUCCAAGGUUUUGUCAAAGUAGCUGCU
rnacentral:rRNA from 1 species